rnacentral:rRNA from 1 species
AUUGAACGCUGGCGGCAUGCCUUACACAUGCAAGUCGAACGCGAAAGGGGGGCAACUCCUGAGUAGAGUGGCGAACGGGUGAGUAAUACAUCGGAACAUAUCCAGUAGCGGGGGAUAACCUCGAGAAAUCGAGGCUAAUACCGCAUACGUCCUACGGGAGAAAGCAGGGGACCGCAAGGCCUUGCACUAUUGGAGUGGCCGAUGUCGGAUUAGCUAGUUGGCGGGGUAAAAGCCCACCAAGGCGACGAUC